GUAGUGAUGCUAACAGCAGUGAUGCUAACUGUAGUGAUGCUAACUGUAGUGAUGCUAACUGUAGUGAUGCUAACAGCGGUGAUGCUAACAGUGGUGAUCAACAGCGGGUUUCCUCCUUGCUGAUGGAGCCUCAUCCUGUCAGCAGCUUCAGCUCCUCGGAUCGUGAGAGAGGAUUAUUCCCCCUGAAGUCCAGCCAGCCGGGCCUGGACCCUGGUUCUGGCCCGGUGUGGGAUUCAGCUCAGAACCUGGAAAGGAGCAGGGAAUGAAAGCGGGGAAGCGUUCCAGCCGCUAACAGGAUAAUGUCUUCCAUGCACAGGAAGAGCGAGCGGCCAACAUGGCCGGCCUCGCGCCAAGAACCCCGCUACAGGUCCGAGACGGGUCGGGCCAGAACCACAGAGAGUUACAGCCCAGUGAGAGGAGGGUCGGAUCUGGUACCAGAACCGGUUCUGAUCCGACCACCAUGAGAACUGAAACAACUAAUCAGCUAAUUCAGAAUCAAUUCUUCGGCACCUGGAGGAUCUAAAAACCUUCCUGGAGAAAACCUGCUAACCACCGUUAGCAUCUGGUUAUUGAUCAGCUAAUCAAUAAUUAAUCACUUCCUUCUCAGGUUUAACCUGCGGGGCUGAAAACCUUCAGCUACUCAGGAAUGAAGUUUUGUGUUUUACUGAACAGAACCUGCAGAUGUUCGGACCGCCGCGCUGAGAGGUCCUGCUGGGAUCCGGAUCCGUCCAGGUCGGAUCCAGAGGGAAUCAGGAGUUCUCAGCUUUAUUCCCGUACAGAAACCCAUAAAUCAGCUGAUGGUUCUGGUUCUGGUUCUGAUCCGUCUCUGAUGAGAGGAUUUACAUUUUUGGGAAAUCUGCUGUUUUUAUUUAGCGAAGUCGUGAGAAUGAACCAGAGCUGCUCAGGUUCUGGUUCUGGUUCUGGUUCGGUACUGAGCUCCUCUAGAAUACAGAUGGCCUCAGGUAGCAGGCUAAAGGUCAAAGGUCACGACACAUAAAGCCUCUUUUCUCUAGAAACAAGAUGGCCGCCGGACCGAGGCGAGCAGAGCCGAGGCUUCUGGGAAAAAGUCUACUGAAUGGAAGGAAGCAGAAACACCUGAGACUGUGAGCACGGCGGUGGAGGAGUGGUGAUGCGGGCCGCUUUCAGUGGUGGAUUUGAUCUGAUCUGUUUGCAUCAGAAGAUAAAAACCCGUCAGAAUGAGACAGAAAGUGAAACCGGAUCCGGUCGGCUGCUUCCGCCAUGAUUAAGAAACGGGAUUAAAGAUGAUU